AUGAUUUUGGAUCCGACUGAGUGGCGAACUGGUGAGUAACACGUGGGUAACCUGCCCAGAAGAAGGGGAUAACACCUGGAAACAGAUGCUAAUACCGUAUAACAACAAGAACCACAUGGUUCUUGUUUGAAAGCUGGCCUUUGUGCUAGUGCUUCUGGAUGGACCCGCGGCGUAUUAGCUAGUUGGUGAGAUAAUAGCUCACCAAGGCAAUGAUACGUAGCAGACCUGAGAGGGUAAUCUGCCACAAUGGGACUGAGACACGGCCCAUACUCCUACGGGAGGCAGCAGUAGGGAAUCUUCCACAAUGGACGAAAGUCUGAUGGAGCAACGCCGCGUGAGUGAAGAAGGGUUUCGGCUCGUAAAACUCUGUUGUUAGAGAAGAACAGCCGUGAGAGCAACUGCUCACGGUAUGACGGUAUCUAACCAGAAAGUCACGGCUAACUACGUGCCAGCAGCCGCGGUAAUACGUAGGUGGCAAACGUUGUCCGGAUUUAUUGGGCGUAAAGGGAGCGCAGGCGGUUUAUUAAGUCUGAUGUGAAAGCCUUCGGCUUAACCGGAGAAGUGCAUCGGAAACUGAUAAACUUGAGUGCAGAAAAGGAUAGUGGAACUUCAUGUGUAGCGGUGAAAUGCGUAGAUAUAUGAAGGAACACCAGUGGCGAAGGCGGCUAUCUGGUCUGUAACUGACGCUGAGGCUCGAAAGCAUGGGUAGCAAACAGGAUUAGAUACCCUGGUAGUCCAUGCCGUAACGAUGAAUGCUAGGUGUUGGAAGGUUUCCGCCUUUCAGUGCCGCAGCUAACGCAUUAAGCAUUCCGCCUGGGGAGUACGACCGCAAGGUUGAAACUCAAAGGAAUUGACGGGGACCCGCACAAGCGGUGGAGCAUGUGGUUUAAUUCGAUGCUACGCGAAGAACCUACCAGGACUUGACAUCUCUGCCAAUCUAAAGAUAGACGUUC
rnacentral:rRNA from 2 species